GACUUUCAGUAUUCCUGAGGAAUGUUGAUGGGUCUGGAAGGAAAGGAGUCUAAAUUCAGUGUAACCAAGGGAAUGGUGAUAUGGAUCGCCUCGGGCAACUUUGACUGGGUCACAGACAUUGCAGUGUUCUUAAAAGAACAAUUCUUAAAAGGGUUAUGCUCUGCUAACGCUGCCGGAAAUGACUUGGAUUAAAUGACAUGAAUCGGGAAGCCAGGGCCAUCAGAAGUGGUUUUGUGAAGAAACACAGGGAAGGUCACCAGGUCACUCUCAUCCCUUCAUUCUCUCUCUCUGAAUACCUGAUAGACUGUAAAAUAGAGCUCACCGAACGCACCAAGUCUGUGUGUACUUUCAGUAUCUAAGGAGUAAACACCCUGUGAAGUGUCAGCUGGGACCAGGAGCAUGAUUGCUACCACUGAGGCCCCCACAGAUCCCCUGUCACUGAUGCCUCCGUCCCCCCCGGGGUGCGGAAAACUUCCGUGGAAGGAGCUGUCUAAAGGGAACACGGAGUAAAGAACAUACUAUCCUUGGUCCGAGUUACUCAAAAAUAAAAAAGUUCAAAAAUAUAUAAUGAAUUUCCUGCACAUCAAAAUUUUGUUUGAUUUGUAUACCUUUUGUAAGAGUUAAAAGAAAU
rnacentral:lncRNA from 1 species